ensembl:lncRNA
UAGGAAUUAAGCAUUAGCUUCGCUAAAUCUAAGGCAUACAUCAGUUUUACGGAAGGAAAAAUGGCCUUUUUUUUUUUUUUUAAUAAGCGCUCCCUAUCCAUAGUGUUGGUUGUUGCCACUGGAAGCACUAACUGGGCAGUAUGCAGCUGUACGCGCUCCGAUGGGGAGUUUGGCUGCUGUUUGCUGGGCAGGAAUGGCUGGGCUGGCCUCUGUUUGCCUUUGGCUGGAGUGGGGAGUGGAAGGUGAAAGGAGCGAGGUGGGAGCUUUUGUGACGGCUGCAAUCACCAGGAGGGAUCUGUGAGCUGUGCUUCCCUGCCACAGCCGUCCCGCCUCAGGCCGUUGGGUGUCACACUGGCUAUUAAUCCAGAACGGCUGUGGGAACUAACCAGUCAUUCUUUGACUUGUGAAAACACGUGUGUUCAGUUCAGGUGAAGUUGAAGUUUCAUGAUUAUGUGCUUUAUGUAAAUAUGAUGUCUCCUUUUGAUUGAUUUUUGUUUAACUAGAAACAGGAGGUACUUUUUUUUUUCUUUUCCUCCCCAAUUUUAAUAGGGUUUAUUUAUGGUCAGUUGAUUAAAAGCUGUGCACUUAGUUAGUCAGCAGUGUAUUAAGAAGGUGUUACUGAUGCUAAUAAAAUGUUGGGACUUGGGAUAGGCGCCCCUUGCUCUCAGUUGUGGUUCAUUGAGCCUCUUGUGCCAUGAGGUCAGGUGGAACAUCAUCUGUGCCUGUGUGUGGGGCUGCAGCUGGGAAGGUGUAACCCACCACCUAUUUUCUCUAUGAUCAAAUGUAUUAUUGCCAUUUCACUUCUGUGUUCUAGGUUUGAAGAAUUCUCAUUUUUGAGAUUUUCUUGUAAGAUUUGGGUUCACUUCUGGAUAGCUGUUGUUUUAAAAGCCAUGUCCAAGUGUGGCUUCUUCUGAGUGUGGUUUUCUUGUUUUUCUCCCUUUAUGUUUUCUGAGGAGAUGUUUUAUCACACUUACAGCAUUCUGUUGCUGCCUCAGGAGCUUUUAGUUCUCUUGUAGCUCUUCUUGUCCUCUCAGUUUUGUUAAGUGUAUCCCAAAUGUAUGUAUCCCUUAGAUUUCCUAUUUGAACUUCUUUCCUCUGACUGUUUAGUCCUGUGGCAUGUAUUGUGGAGAAGUUUCUCCCAUAUCUGUAUUUUAACCCCUUGCUGAGGAGGCUGCUGCUGGGCUGAAAUCCCGGCUGCCUCUGUGCUGAGCAGGCGGAGCUGCUGCCCUCAUCCGAAUUUCAGCCACAAGUUUCUCUUCCUAAUGCUGUCACUUUCAGAGUUGUAAAUUAUUCUCGUUGACCUGUGUUGGCCUGUUGGGAAAUUGUUGGGAUUUGUUGUUUCCUUGGCAUUCGUAGCUUCAUUCAUUCCUCAGCAUCUCCUUUAAUUAGGUCAGUAAGGCGUGAUUUCAUUGUCUAUUAGUAACUUCUUGCAUCUUUGCUUUGUUCAGCUCAUUGUUCAUCUCCUGGAUUUUUGCUUUCUUCUCUCUUGUAGCAUUUUGUUCUUGUUGUGAUGCGGGCUGAAGUUCCGC